UUGCAGAUCCGAGUAUCCGACCACCAACCAACCAUUGCAAGUUUGCAACAGAGCAAGAACUAAACAAAGUAUGGAAAAGUCAAGUCUAAAAGCUGACCAAGACUGCUGACUUUUCCCCCAUAAUUUGUUUUUGUCCUAUACUCCUAUGUUAGUCCUUUUCUGUUUUAUUAAAGUCGCAAACAAUUCUACAUAGCUGACUGCUUCUACGGCUAUUCAGAAAGGCAGAACUGAACCAUAAUUCAAUUCGAAACGCACAGCUCAUCGUUUGCAUCUUUUCAUUCUCCACAUUUUAAUAGGAGUAGAACAGAGCACCUGAAGCUGACUUCAGGUUUCAGAAAAUGCGAGAAGGCCUUCAGGAACACAGAGAAAUCACGGCCUGCCAAGAAGGCAAGGUAACAAUCACAAGAACAAGUACUCGCGGUAUGCUCGUGUGAUGUGAAGCUCCAUGUCGCGGGAAAACCAAGGCUCCGGCACC
rnacentral:lncRNA from 1 species